AGUGAACGCUGGCGGUAGGCCUAACACAUGCAAGUCGAACGGCCGCACAGUAAGAGCUUGCUCUUACGGGUGGCGAGUGGCGGACGGGUGAGGCAUACAUCGGAAUCUACUUUUUCGUGGGGGAUAACGUAGGGAAACUUACGCUAAUACCGCAUACGACCUACGGGUGAAAGCAGGGGAUCUUCGGACCUUGCGCGAUUGAAUGAGCUGAUGUCGGAUUAGCUAGUUGGCGGGGUAAAGGCCCACCAAGGCGACGAUCCGUAGCAGGUCUGAGAGGAUGAUCAGCCACACUGGAACUGAGACACGGUCCAGACCCCUACGGGAGGCAGCAGUGGGGAAUAUUGGACAAUGGGCGCAAGCCUGAUCCAGCCAUACCGCGUGGGUGAAGAAGGCCUUCGGGUUGUAAAGCCCUUUUGUUGGGAAAGAAAAGCAGCAGAUUAAUACCCCGCUGUUCUGACGGUACCCAAAGAAUAAGCACCGGCUAACUUCGUG
rnacentral:rRNA from 1 species